GAAGGCAGUAUGCUUGGUAAAAGUCAUCGCCAUUCUCUAAUCUUGAGUACCCAGGGACACGAUACACUGCGGAAGGCUGCAGGGACCUCUGCCCAGGAAAGCCAGGAGCCAGAAAAACUUCAUCUCUUUUACAAGAAACAUUGAGAUUCCUGUAAAAUUAAGAAAUCACACAAUUUGAUGGUCUACAUUAUCUAAAGCAAAUGAGACUUCUAUUUGGAACAAAGACUACCUUGUUGGGAAAUGAGUCUGCAAGUUAAAGUGUUUUCUGUUUUCUAAGGAUAAUGGUCUCCAGCUUCGUCAAUGUUCCUGCAAAGGACAUGAUGCUGACUUUGAAGAUGCAAGCUUCCACAUCUACAGCCUCAAGGAAACAAAUUCAGCCAACCAACUGAGGGAGCUUUCCUUGUCCUGCCUCAAGAUGAGAUCACAGUCUGCCCAACACCAUGAUUUAGGCCUUGUGACACCUGAUGAUGCAUAUCAUAAAUUAUUACUCACCCCAUGUUCCCACCCUCGAGAGACCUCCAAACAAUCACCAUGCCACAGUGAACAUUCAGUAACAAAAAUUCAGCCAGGGUUUUCACCAGCAUGAAUGGCAGUGAUUCCAAUCAGGAAAACAGAAAGAGGAGAGUUCAGAGCCACCUAGAAUGGCUCUUGCAAGAUACGAAAUCAAGGCAGCAGCAACAGGGCUGAACAUUCCUCAUCCCUAACUCUCCCUUCACCAGUAGGAAACCCAGGAUAACUGCAAUCACCGCAGGCCCAUCUGGCCUGAAGUUCUACUACUAGUAGCCCUCCAUGGGACCUUCUUAAGGAAGCAUGUCAACUCAGGUAAGGGAUGUAAGGGGAUGGAUGACCCUUUGAGGCCAAAGUUGGAGCAAAAAACACCAGAUGUUCCUGUGCACUGCUCCUAAGAGAUGGUUCUGAAGACCAGUUCGGGGAGAGGUCAAAAUACUGGACAGAAUCUCAGCAACAUGGAACCUCAAACUAAGUGACAGUCACAGACAACUCUUCCCCAAAGAAAAUAAGCACAGACAUGGUUUGUGGUAAGCAGAAUUAUAAAGAUGAAUUCCCAUCUCCCUGUCAGAUUACCAGUAUGGUAAAUUACCAGAUUACCUGGUUAUUUAUUCAAACACUAAUACAGUUAUUGCCUUGAUGGAAACAUACAGAUACAAUUAAAAUCCCAAGUACCAAAUAAAUUGACCUUAAGACAAAGACUAAGUAAAUCACAUGAGCCCUCUACAAGCAGAGAGUUUUUCUCCAGCUGGUAGCAGAAGCCAGAGAUUUGAAGCAUAGGAAGUAUUCAACACAUUAUUGCUGGCCUGAAAAUGGAAGGGGCCACAUAACGAGGGAAACCGGUGGCCUCUAGAAGCAGGGAGCAGUCCCCUGCUGACAGACAGCAAGCCAAGACCUCAGUUCUACAAUUGCAAGACACUCAAUUCUGCUAAGGACAAAAAUGAGCUUGGAAGUGAACUCUGAGCUUCAGGUGAGAACACGGCCAAACAACACCUUGAUUUCAGCUUAAACAAAGAAUGCAGCCACUCCAUGCCAGAAUUCUGACCUGUAGAAAUUUGAGCUAAUAAAUAGAUGUUUUAAUAGC
ensembl:lncRNA HISLA HIF1A stabilizing long noncoding RNA